ACGGGCUCCCCAGAGCUGUUUGCAGAAAUGCCUCCCUUGAAGACAUUUCAAAGUGUUCUCGGCCAGAAAGCUUUAAAAAAAUCAUAAAAGCAGCCAUCCUCUUCCCAAAUCCAGCCCUCCUAAGCAUCUCUCAUCCCCUGGGACUGGAGCAACUUCUCGCCUGCUUCAAGAAAGCCUCUCCAUCAGGGCCCGGAGAGAGUGGGGCUUCUCACAAGGCGCUUCCUCCCCAUGAAAGCAGUGGACCAGAACCUGCUGGAAGCUUGGGACACUCCACACCGAACAUCGGACCCCAGCCCAAGUUGCAGCUUCAAGCCCCAACAUGUGGGACAUGGCUGGACAAGCACAGAAGGAAGACCAGGGCCAAGCCCUGGAGGCCCCUGAGCUCCAUCUCUGGGCUGCAGCACGAGAGGCAGCAGCCGCUCCCCCCGCCUCCAUCUGUGCCCGCGUCUGAGGUGUUAGCGCUUCGGCUGCAGCGCCAGCGAACUGCCCGAUUCAUUACUAAGCAGCCUGAUUUCAGUCGCCCGGAACUGCCCUGUGCGGCGCCCACCCGGGGGGACCCGUCGGUCACGGUCACAGCGCUUGGGCGGCGGCUCUGACGUCGGGUGGCGGGACGGAGCCCACGCGUGUUUCGGCUCCGCUCCCUCCACCCUGGCCCAGCCCUGACACGUGAAGGGCCCUCAGAAGGGACGGCGCCGAAGGAAAUUCGAUCAGGCUCGGAGAUCUGAGAGCCGGUAUUGAUGCCUGCAGAUUGGGACGCUGGGCACGCGGCCUUUGAAAGGCCUAAUCCUGGCAGAAGCUCAGACGCUCCCCCGAGAAGCCAUCGGGCGGGUGGAGGAGCCUGUUUCUGCAGGAGGAGGGGGGCCGAGGGGCCCGGGAGGGGAGGGGGCAGCGGGUACCAAUCUGGGCUCUAGAGCUCAGGUUACUCCAGCUCUCUGAGCCUCCGUUUCCUCAUCUGUAAAAUGGGGACCAGAGCAGCACCUCCCCCCAGGCCUGGCACGCCCUCAGGGUCUGUCCACACCAGCCUCGAGAGGCCGGCCAGGCCCUACCCGCCUUCCCCCUGCCUCUGCCCCCCACCCCACCCCUAUCCCCAGGCCACAUGCAGCCUUUCCCUCCAGGCUUUGGGCAGUGGCCUCCCGAGCCACCCCAGGGGUCUGCCCCAAGCGUCCCAUUCACUCAAAUGCUCCUCGGAGCACCUCUGCCUCAGGAGCCAGUGGGGAAACUGAGUCAAGGCCCCUGGGGCAGAGGAGGCUGGGAGAUGCCUGGCUCAGGGGACCCCCACCCAGGCGGGAAAUAGGACUGAUCCGAGGAGUGGGGCUGGCCAGCCAGGCGGGCUUCUGGAAGGGGCUCCAGGGCGGCCGGAGGAAGGGCCGGGUCCUGCAUUUCCUGCCGUGUGGUCUGGGCCACACUUUCCCCACCCACUGACCCGCCCGCCUCCCAGGACCUCAGCAAGGAAUAAAUUACAGAGUGGCUAGUAUUGUUA